GACGAACCGUGCGAACGUUGUUCGGAUUCACUGGGCUUAAAGGGCGCGUAGGCGGCUUGCCAAGUCAGGGGUGAAAUCUUUCGGCUCAACCGGAAAAGUGCUUCUGAUACUGGCGGGCUGGAGGGAGGUAGGGGCAGAUGGAACUUCCGGUGGAGCGGUGAAAUGCGUAGAUAUCACUUGGAACGCCAAUGGUGAAAACAGAUAGCUGGGGUUGUGCUGACACUGAGACACGAAAGCCAGGGGAGCAAACGGG
rnacentral:rRNA from 1 species